ACACGAACAAUAGAAAUGAAUGUUAGAACUUACAGUUAUUAUUAAUUCGGCGCCAUGAUAAUGGGUAGUAUCGAGUGCUAUUAAUUAAUUGAAUUAUCGCGUUAGUUUUCGUAAAUUAGUAAAGAAAACUUAUCCGAUAUCGUGUUGUGCAAUCAUCAAUGUGAAUUUAAACAGUGAUUGGGGCGAAAGUUGCACUUAGGAUUAGGAUUACGAAAAGUGACGCUGUUGGCUUCUCUAUCUUGCAAUCAUGGAAGUGGAUCGUUAGAGAACCUUUGAUGGGAGAGAAAGGGAUGAAUUAAUUUCGCUCACAAUAGUGGAUUCUUUCAAAAGGUAUAUUUGGUUCUUUAUUCCACAAUUAUAGAGGAGGACUUCUGGAACGGUGUUGAGAUUUUUUGAGGAAAUUGGAAAAUCUCCUAAAAUAUCGAGGAGGACUUACCAAGCAAAAUUCUUCUGUGUCAGGCAGUUUUAGUAGGACCAUUUAGAGCCCUGAUGGAAGACAAAAGGAUUAAUCAAUUUUACCCACAACAUUGGACCAAUUCCGCAGGUGCAAAUUCCAGUCAAGCAGUUUCUUCAGGAGAUGGUCGUUUGAGUGUCAGUGAUGGGAGAGAAAGGCUGGAAGCGAUUGCAGCCACAAAUUCUUCAAAUGUUCAAAAGAGUUGGACAUUUCUGGAGAUGCAAAUUUCAAUCGAGCAGCAUCAUUGGGGUAGGGUCGUUGGAAUGCCUGUGAUGGGAGAAAGAGGGUGGACGCGAUUGCAAUCACAACGGUGAGUUUUUCAAAUACAAU